UCCCUGGAGGUCCAGUGGUUAAGACUCUGUACUCUCAAUGCAGGGGCAUGGGUUCAAUCCCUGGUUGGGGAA
rnacentral:tRNA from 1 species